AAACAACAAAAGCUGGACUUUGGUGCAAAACCAUGGUGGCACUGAAAAAAAUAGAGUGGUGCACGCGCUCUGGUCGUGCACUCAAAAUCCUGGCACACCAGCGAGAUCUACGUCAGCUCGGCUGCGGCGACUGUAAAAAGGCCCUUAGUUGGUCCAGGAAAACAAUCCGCUCUCUCUCAGCUGUCAUUUUAAAUCACAACCAACCAUACAACAAGGACAUCAAAAGUCAUGUCACUUUUAACCAUUGAAAGUGCCAACCCAACUCUCUGAAGUUCCUGUCUUCCUGAAGGUGUAUUUAAACUCAUGCUGAAGGACGUUACGUUUUACUGACCCUUUAAGAAGAAGACUCCUGAGGCGGAGUGGCAAUCAGGAGAGUCAGGAAUUUUUCCAGUGGGCCGGUCAUGUUUCGAGGCCGCUCUGGCCGAUCUGAUCGCCUGCUCCGGCUGCCGCUGCCCGCUCUGGCCGCCGCUGCCCACUGGUCCACCUAACCUGUACGGCGGGCCACAGCAGCCUCUUAUUUGCGAACAUUCAUCUCUCCCCCGCCCCCCGAGGGCCGGUGGUCUACAAAAUUUUGUUUAUCAAGUAACAGCGAAAACGCAAAAGGCGGAGCAGUAUGUCCUGUAUGUCCCUUACCGGCUAACGUAUUUCAAGAUGGCGCAUGAUUA